rnacentral:rRNA from 1 species
GAUGAACGCUAGCUACAGGCUUAACACAUGCAAGUCGAGGGACCGGCGCACGGGUGAGUAACACGUAUCCAACCUGCCCUUUACUCGGGGAUAGCCUUUCGAAAGAAAGAUUAAUACCCGAUGUAAAGGAUGGGGAUGCGUUCCAUUAGGUUGUUGGUGAGGUAACGGCUCACCAAGCCUUCGAUGGAUAGGGGUUCUGAGAGGCAGUUCCCCCACAUUGUAACGGUGACACGUUCCAAACUCCUAUGGGAGGCAGCAGUGAGGAAUAUUGGACAAAGGGCGGUAGCCUGAACCAGCCAAUUAGCGUGAAGGAUGAAGGCUUAUGGGUCGUAAACUUCUUUUAUAUAAGAAUAAGGAUUAUAUGGAUAAAGAGCGACUAGCUCCGUGCCAGCAGGCGCGGUAAUUC